AUAACAAGUAAAAAUGUAACCCUCAGAGAUGUUCCAAUAAGCUUCUUUCACAGACUAGUCUCCUUCUUAGUCUGGGCCCAAUCUUUUCCCCUGGUACAGCACUUGUCAGUUCCAGCAGGCAUCCUAGGUGAAAAGCAGAGGCUUUCUCAUGACUGUUACCCCCUUUGUCCUGCUCCACCACCUUUUAUAGCUUUGUCACAAGGCAGGAAUCCUUUGUCUCUCUGGGUCCCCACCCCUCCUUCUAAAU